GUGGGGCUAGAACCCGGGUCCCUGAACCGACCUGUCCUAUGCUUUACUCGUUGAGUCCCCUUCUCUCUCUCUAAAUCUCAAUCUUAGAGUUUGGAUUUGGCAGUGGCACAACCAGUCAAGCUCAUCCUUUGUCCCCAUUUCUCUUGCUCAUCCCAACUCGAUGUCUCUAUCUCCCGACUUCGACCGUUGAAUAUGGCGUCGACAAUGACACGAGGCUCUAAAUCGGGGAUGUUUCGAGGCACCUGAGGGAUAUCAAAGAUCGAAGAUUGACGAUGAUGGCGCUAUGACGAUAAAGAACCUCGUUGAUGAUGGUGGGUUCUAGAUCAACGAAGAUGGAGCUUUACGCCUAUGAAAGUCGUCUCGAUGUUCUUCAACUAGUGGGACGAGAUCAACGAGUCCUCCUGGUGGCAGGACGACAUCUUCUACGCUUUAUGCACCGCCUACGCCCUCGUCUCCUCCGUCACUCUGGUCUCUCUUUGUCUAACUUCAUAUAUUUAGUGCAUAUGAUUCAAUUUCAUGCUUCUUAUCCAAGAUUUGAGCAAGAGAAGAGGCAAAUCUGAGUUAGGUAGCGUUGAAUCUCAUUGUGGGUGGCGAUUUGGAAUUGAGUUUGGUGGGUUUGGAUCUAAUGGUGAGGUGGGCAUGGAUGAAGACGGCCUUGAGUGGCGGUCGUUCGGGCAGUGCUAUUGAGUUGCAGAAGAAAUGAAUGAUCCCGAAAAGAAAAAAAAAGACUCGUGGACCCGAUGCGAACCGGUCCAUUUCAACCGGGCCAAGUUAGGUUCGGUUUCUUUAUUAAAAUAUGUUAUACCUGCCUCGGCUCAGCUCAUUUCUUUUAAACAAGGGUCCGGUCCCUUCAAAAUUGGGCCCGGCCCGGCCCAUGCCUAGCCCUAGAAGGAUCCCUUUUAUAUAAUAUAAGGGUUUCCUUCAGCUCAUACAUACAUUAUGGGCUAGGUCAUAAGGUCCAAAUACUAAGGCCAAAUAUAUGGUACAACAAAAUAUAAACUUUGUCGUUCUCUUAUGCACAAUUAACUUCAAUGACAAAUUGUGAUUUAAUAGUUGUUAGCAAAUUUUCUUGAAGAGAAGCCCACGCAGAGGAAACUAUAGAGACUGCUUUGGGAUCUGAUUGCAAAUCUCUUGGCUUGACCAAGGACAAAGUAGAUGCAACGUACGCCAACUUUUCUUUGAAAGAACUAUAAAUAUAAGCAGCAUCAAUGCUUUGCUUGUGGGAAAGUUACGUUCCUCUUAUAACUCUAUAAGUGCAGAGGUAUGAGUUUGUUGUAAGAAACUGAACUACUAUUGAAUUGUUGGUAUCAUUGUAUGUUGAUAUAGGAUUAUUUUUAUAUAUAGCUAUAUGGAGUGCCACUUGAUAAUUUUAGCGAUCGGCACACUGACAAAAAUAUAUGUACUUCAAAACUAGCCCUUUUCUAGGUAUUUUUCUUUUUUACUUCAACUUAAUGUUAUGAUAAUUUCUUUGAAUCGUUGUGUAGUGUUAGGUUGACUACCUCAUUGUCUUCUCCUCCUUUUGUUCACUUUGAUUAGACCCCCUUAUACCUUUCUUGAAUCCAAUUAUUAUGUUGUUUACUUCAUAUGACGUACUUCUUUACUUUGCUGUGUUUUUGUGCCCAUUUCAUCUUAUGGAAAAUUGUGUUUUGUGUCCAUUUAAUUGUCUAGGCAUUGUUCUGGUUGGAAUUUGGUUAUCUUUGUUUUAUUUUGUUUUCUUCUUUCUAUUAAACGGUAAGGACCUUUUUUCCAGUUUUUAUUUUGUGCUAAAGGCAAAAUGAGGCUUUGGUGUGGUGUAGAGGAAAUGGAUACAAGGUUAUUUAAGAUAUGUUAACUUCUCUGUGAUAAUUAAUUUUGGGGGGAGGGGAGUUAGUGGGUAAAUUUUGGUGGCUUAGGAGGAAAACUCAUUAUAAGUGGGCUUAGGAGCAAAGAAUCUGAUUGACAAGGAUUGCGCCUUUGUUAGGAUUUAGCACCUGUGAAGAUUUUUUUUUUUUGACAGGGAAUCAGUAUGGAAACACUGUUAUUUGAAGGAAGCAACAUUGUUGCAUAAGCUAUUGGAGGUUCUUGUACAAGCCUUUGGUGACAAACUAUUGGAGGAGGCAACAUUGUUGCAUAAGCUAUUUGGGCAGAUGUAAUUGAGCUGGGUCAUUCGAGUAUCUUGUGUAUUUGUACUCGGAGAAACAUUGCAUCUUUGGUGUAGGUAUAAAUUAUCAAGCUAGAAACUUAAUAGAGAUGUUUGAAUUUCUUUUGAGUGAUUUGAUUAGAAAGGAAUACUAGAAUCUCCAAAGAUAAAGAGGUGAUUACAUUGUGGAGUAGAGCAAUUUUGGGCUUCUUUGUAGGCAUUGGUAGCUGGAGAAUUUAGAGAUAUUUCUUUUUUUCCUCUUCACGCUAAUUGGAGAACUAUAGGUGAUUGAUUAUUUUUUGGUUUAUGCUUGCUGUGAUAGUUUGCAAACUAUAGAAAAGCUCAUUGUAUAUUGUUCUCUGUUGGCUUUUAUCUUUCUUGAUCUGGAAUAUUCCAUUUUCCUUAUUUCUUUUGUUUAGAUUGAUUUAGUGCACAACAAUGGUAUGAUAUGAAGGAUCAUGAGUUAAAGUUUGUUGUGUGCAUGCGAUGUCCUAAAUCAUACCACAUGAAAUGUCAUGUGAUGCCCUAAAUCACACCACAUGAAAUGUUUGCCCAAGUUCUCUUAAUGGUCUACUGGUUUUGUUUUGUUUUUAAUAUGCGAUUAUGGCUCUUGAUGCCAUAGUCCCUUUACUAUUGUGUCUAGAUGGUUGAUGCUAGUAUAACUUGUAUCAGAGGGAUUGGUUUUGAAAUGGGAGAAGGAAGAUUAAUAGCAAGAGCAUGCGAAGGUCUAUUACCUAACCGCAUCCUUAUAUAUUGCACGUAAGUAUUAUUUUCUCUAAUGAGCUUCUUCUCCAUGUUAUCUUGUUGGCUGCAGUUUUGCUGAGUGGUUUUGCCUUUUAUUCUAACCAAAACUACGGCAGACCUAUAUUAAGGGACCACUUAAAAUUCCCUAAUGUUGAAGUGAAAAAGAAUAUGGGUGAAAAAAAAAAGAAGAGAAAAUUGACAUUAGAGUCCCUUGUAGAGAGAGAAAAUGUCAUGUCUAAGAAGAGAACACUUCCCUUGGAAGAAUUACAUAGGAUAAAAACUGCUCUUGGACUAUCCAAGAAGAAGCAAAAGACAUUUUAUGCGAAAAUGGAUGACAGAAAAGUAUGUUCUGGGUUUGAUAUUCUGAGAAAUGUGCCAACAAAUACAUCAUCUAAAAUAGAACUUAAGACUUCCAUCUCCGGGGAAAACAAGUCUUCACUGGGUGGGCAGAGAAAGAGACAUUCUAGGAGCAUUGGUGAUGGAGUAUGCUAGAAGAGUCUCAACCGUGAGAAAAUUGGGACAAUGAUACAUUUCAAAAGCUGCAGCAUGGUGAAAGUGAAAAGAACAGAAGAGGAAUGGAUGAGAUUUCAUCAGUGAACAAAACAGAUAGUGGAAAUUUUCCUGCUAAUUAAUGAGAUGUGCAAUGAAAUGCCUACACCCACUAAGCGUGGUGAUAAUGAUAAUCAUAAUUCUGAGCUUGGUAUGCAGUUUGUAGCUGCCAGCGGUGGAAUCCAGGUCAACCUUCCUGACAACACAGUAAGAAGGUUCAUCACAAGUAGCAAUGAGCCCCAUUCUGGCAAUAGGGCUAUAAACUUGAAGCAUGUUAUCGAGUGCAUGAAAGACAUCUCAUAUAGACCACAUUGUAAUGAAAUGAUUGAAAUAUGUACAGGGGAGUCUGACUUGGGAAACGCAUCAGCUAUGGAGUCGAAUGCAUCUUGACUGGAUGGAUUUAACUGCUUAACAACGAGUGCUUUGGGAUCUGACUGACCUAUGUUGAGUAGAGACAAUUAUGAUCCGACAAAGGUUCGAUCUAGUUACUCUUGUAUCCCCGUGGGUUUUGCCCUUGGUUCUUACCUGACGUACUCACUCCAUAACUCAGCAGGUUGGGUUGAUGAGUAGUAAUUGUUUUGUCAUACCUCCUGUAGAUUCUGCCUUAUCUAUGUAUGAGCUUGUGAAUGUUUUGCUCUCUGAUUUCCUUGCCACUUCUACAACGUAGUUACUUCAUGAAGUUAUAUAUAAUACUACUACCCUUUUUUUUUGGUAGAAAUAAUACUACUACCCUUUGAGCACACGUACUUAGGAUUACUAUCUUAUAUUUUAAUUUAAUAAAAGAAAAAAGAAAUCAAUUUAUUAGACGGAAGUGUGAGGCCAUCUUCUACGCAAGACUUAUAAUUUUAGACCUAUAUUCUUAUAUAUGAGUC